rnacentral:snoRNA from 1 species
CUUCUUUACCGAAGACUGCAGCGUUAAUAUAUAGCUAUUGAGGCGAUGAAGAAAACAUUUGCGUAAAAAUUAAAAUCUGAUAAAUAAAAUAUUACUAAAAUUUAUUUUUUUUAAUAUUUUAUUUUAAGAUGAUAAACGCCAGAUAACAGAGCCUUAU